UCUCUCCCCACCGCUCCCCAUUCCAUGGUGGCCCUGCCUGCUCUCCCCACUGCCUCAUCUACCCACCACGGCCUCGCCCCGUCGGCCGCCGCCUCCUCUCCCCACCAUGGCCUCGGCCCGCCGCCUUCUCUCUCCACCACGACCUCACCUUGCCGCUAACCCCGCCGUUCUUCCCUAGAUCGACUCUGUCGCCGCCGUCCACAUGUUCCAGCGCAGAUCAAGAUGCGAGCUAGAGGAGCAUCCUGGAAACGAUGCGGCAGCGGGCAUCUCGGAGCGGGCCGAGUUCCAGUUCGUCUACGUGCCCACCGUGAUAGUCGACCUCGUGCUUCGCUCCCACACCUGCUCCGAGAAGGUGCUCCCAGCUUGCCUACGUGGUCGGUUGCUCCAGGAUGUAGCUUGGGAAGGUCAGACUGUUGGAGUUGUAGCAGUUGUAGAUUUCUUCAAGGCAAAAAUAAAGCAUUUGCACUUGGUGAUAUGAAAAAGGUGAUGCAAGGAACUGACGACCUGUUUGCAGCGAGAAGGUGAGGCAGGAGCAACCGCACAUCUAAUGGCCAGUGGAGGGCGGCGAGGGAAGGCGGCGGUGUUUUCGUGCGGCGAGGUCGCCGUCCAGGAAGGCGAAGGCGAUGAUGUUUCUGAGCGGCAAGGGGAUAUCGGUGGGAUAUGUUUCUUGUUUUUGGAUUUGGAUUUGGAAGGUCUAUUAUUAUUUGUGGGUAUGGGGGAUACGUGAUUGUAGGGAUUGUGUUUCCUUUCGCAUGGAAGUUUUCCUCCACGGUGGAGUACGGUCAGUCAAUGUAAAUUAGUAAGUGCACACCAGAAAACAUAUCAGGUGAAGGCUAGCCGUUGGAUAUAUAUUAGUGGGGAUAAUCAUGCGGUAGUAGUGGGUUCGUGUAUGUUUUGUGGGGUGCGUUUAGCAAAGAUAAUGUUUGCUCUUUUA